UACGAAGGGGGCUAGCGUUGUUCGGAAUUACUGGGCGUAAAGCGUGCGCAGGCGGCUUCUCAAGUCAGGGGUGAAAGCCCAGAGCUCAACUCUGGAACUGCCUUUGAGACUGAGAGGCUUGAGUACGGGAGAGGUGAGUGGAAUUCCUGGUGUAGCGGUGAAAUGCGCAGAUAUCAGGAAGAACACCCGUGGCUAAGGCGGCUCUCUAGUACGGUACUGACGCUGAGACGCGAAAGCGUGGGGAGCGAACAGG
rnacentral:rRNA from 1 species